GACGAACGCUGGCGGCGUGCUUAACGCAUGCAAGUCGAACGAAGAGCGACGGAAGCUUGCUUCUAUCAAUCUUAGUGGCGAACGGGUGAGUAACGCGUAAUCAACCUGCCCUUCAGAGGGGGACAACAGUUGGAAACGACUGCUAAUACCGCAUACGAUCUAACCUCGGCAUCGAGGAUAGAUGAAAGGUGGCCUCUACAUGUAAGCUAUCACUGAAGGAGGGGAUUGCGUCUGAUUAGCUAGUUGGAGGGGUAACGGCCCACCAAGGCGAUGAUCAGUAGCCGGUCUGAGAGGAUGAACGGCCACAUUGGGACUGAGACACGGCCCAGACUCCUACGGGAGGCAGCAGUGGGGAAUCUUCCGCAAUGGACGAAAGUCUGACGGAGCAACGCCGCGUGAGUGAUGACGGCCUUCGGGUUGUAAAGCUCUGUUAAUCGGGACGAAAGGCCUUCUUGCGAAUAGUGAGAAGGAUUGACGGUACCGGAAUAGAAAGCCACGGCUAACUACGUG
rnacentral:rRNA from 1 species